rnacentral:rRNA from 1 species
UACGUAGGUGGCAAGCGUUUGUCCGGAUUUAUUGGGUUUAAAGGGUGCGUAGGCGGCUUUGUAAGUCAGUGGUGAAAUAUGGCGGCUCAACUGUCAAGGUGCCAUUGAUACUGCGGAGCUUGAGUACAGAUGAGGUAGGCGGAAUUGACGGUGUAGCGGUGAAAUGCUUAGAUAUCGUCAAGAACACCUAUAGCGAAGGCAGCUUACUAGGCUGUAACUGACGCUGAGGCACGAAAGUGUGGGGAUCAAACAGG